CAUAAGUGACCUCUUGCUCCAUACUGCCUACAACUUGGGACCUUGAACAUGUCCACCUGUGUUGACUUUUUGCAACUGGAUUUGUUAAAUAGCUUAUUUGAUGCAGUGAUGCUUUUGGCCUGAUGGGUGGUUACAGGAGAGUGAUGGUGAAUAUUAUUGGAAAAGAUUUAGUAUCUACAAAUUGCAUCCAUUAUAAUCGCUGAAGGGUGAUUUGGAGGUUACCUGUCUUAAUAGCUGUUUUUUCUAGAGGUGUAAUAUGUUAUCUUGAUAUUUGGAUUAUUGGGUUCUUUCUAAAGAGAAAUGGAAUGAAUGAUAUGAUCAUAUUGUGCUGUAGGGUUCUACAUUAGAAUUACUGGGAGUGGAUCAUUGUGGGGUUUAUUUUUUCUUCCUCCUGAGAACCCAUGAUCUACCAUCGUUUUUAUUUUGCAUCCUUGUGACUUGUGAGAACCCAUGACCAACUGUUCAACCUCAUUGUACGUCAAUCCUCUGGCUACUUAGAAGGCUAGGCCAAUUAUUAACAUGCUAUAGAGAUUUGGAACACCACCUCCAAAGAACAUCUGCUUUUAGUAUCCAUGUGGUGCAAAAACUAACUUUUCCAUGUUUUUCUUUGUGCAGUUAUUAACAAACGCCCGCUCAUGCUGCGGUUGAUUUCAGAAGAGCAUUGCAGCUUGACGGGUGGCAGUUCCUUGUUGAAAUGUGCGGUUCUUUGGCUUGUUGGUUUUUUCGUUUGUGAAGCUUGUGGGAAACGUAGUGAGCUUCUUCAAGAAUGAUACUAGAAGGAGAGAAAAAAAAAAAAAAAACCAAAAGAGAAAAAAAAAAAGGAUUGCUGUUAUUGGUUAGUGAAGUUAUUAAUAUGUUUUCCCAUCCAUAUCUCGAUGAUAUUUGUUGAUCUGUGGAGAUUAUAAGUAUGGUUGGCUAUAUGGUUAUAUACUUCUCUUUUCGUUUAUGAUUGCUGAUCAAACUAUUACUGUAAGUACAUAUCUUUAUUUAGAUGGCGUUCUCUAUGUUGUGUGGUUUCUUCUCGUAUUGGGGACUUAAGAAGCUACUGAGAGAAUCCUGAGUGGAAGACUAGAUAAAUGACUUGUAUCUGAGUUCCCAAUUUAUGGUUGCGGUUUUGUUGUUGUGUUGUGCUUUA